AAAAAUAAAUAUUACUACCUCCGUCCCUAAUUAUAAGACUUUGUUUGACCACUGCACGUACAUCAAUGCACAAUUUUGAUCAUUAAUAUCUUUAGUUGUGUAUUAGUAAAAAUUAUAAAAAUUUAAUAUUUUGAAAAUACUCAUCAAAACAAAUUGAACAAGGUCUUACAUGUUAAUAUUUAUAUUUAGAUAUUAUUAAAAAAAAUACGGUCAAAACAAUAUAAAUGUAUAGUACAUUUUUGUCAAACAGUGUCUUAUAAUUAGGAACGGACGUAGUAUCAUAUAAGAUGUUGUUUGAUUCGUCUCGAUGAAUAUUUUCAAAAUAUCAAAUUUUUAUAAUUUUUACUAUUAUACAAUUAAAAAUAUUAAUCGUCAAAGUUAUGCAUCGGCAUGCGUGAAACAGUCAACUGUGUCAAUCAAAUUGGGAUGGAAGAAGCAUAUUACAAGGUUAUUUUAGUAAUUGUAAUAGAAAUUUUACAUGAAAUCAAGACAAAAAAAUAAUUUAUUAAUAAGUGUGCACUGGGCAAAUUGGUAUAUUUCCUUACAAAAGAAGCCGGUAAUUUGUUGGCAUCACUAGAUGAACAAUGGUGAUCACACUAGGUAUCAUCCAUACAAAAUAUGUUCAUUACUGACUUGUUAGUUGUUAAGAAGGGUCCAUUUGAAUUACCAAAAACUUUGUUAUACAACUUUUGUCAAAAGAAACGUUAGAAUUAAACAUAAAUACAUCAAAACAUAUAUUCAGGAAGCAUGAAAUAAUUGUGGAACCAAGUUGUUCUUCAUAUAGUCGUCAUAUUACUUUUUUU
rnacentral:lncRNA from 1 species